UUUUGCUGAUGAGGUAAUAGUUCUUCAUUGAUCUGUAUUUCUUGUGUAAAUAUUAUUUCUAAACUUUCAGAAUACUUUAAGAGUUAAAACAUUAAUGUUGUAGGUGUAAGUGAUGUGUUGUUUUAAGUAUUUUUAUGCACAAUUUUGUUAAGUAAGGAUUUGAGCGUCGAAUGUUUGAAAUGUUUGGUCAUAAUUACACAUGGUAUUUACGCAGGUAUCACUCCGCCAGAAAAGUAGAGACCUGUGUAUGUGUUUCAUGUUUCCAAAAAAGGAUUGUUCUCCUGGAAGAAGAGUGAGCCAAGUUGGAUGUACGACUGCAACUCCUGCGUUUGGCAGUCAACUACGGGGGAAGAAAUGGCUUUAACAUUCGGUGACAUCAUCAUUCUCUACAUGGGCUCCAGGACCAUAUCCAAUGUGGCCAAACUGCUGCGGUUUGCUGAGUUGAGACCGUUUUGGAACCCAGAUGCUCAACCACCCUUUCUACAGAGAGUCAAGACAUGAGAGACCUUUCUAGUAGUUGCUCUUUUCCUUGUGAGAAUCUUUAGCAAAUAUGGCGGCCAGGGCUACUCGCACAUCCUGACUAGCAUCGACUUCAAAUAAGAGGCGAGGCAAUUUUUUAAUUUCUGGAGUUUUCUUUAAUGGAGCAAUACAUGAAGUGGAGAACGUCAAUCAAUGACGGAGUCUCUUCGGUGGACAACAGCUUGUCUCUUCAUAGCAAGACAGGAUUUAUACGCCGCACACAUCCUGACAGGAAGUGCACUUUUCUGCGUGGAAUGACAGGAAGUGGAGUGGGAGAUGUUGGAGAGAUAUAAAUGAACAAUUUGGCACACAUUUGGUCAAAAAUAGCAUGUUGUUGUCUCAUUUGCAGCUAAAAAUAAAAAAAAGUCCAUAUUUUGAA